rnacentral:lncRNA from 1 species
AUGCAUGGACACUCCAGUUAAAAAGCUGGUCCUUUGGCACUGGACCUACUGCAGUGCCGAGGUGGAAAGCAAAACUGUAGAAGUAAAUUUUAUGCAUGGUAUGUGUGGAUAUGAGGAUUUCAAUUAGCAUUAAUAGAAGCUGCUCAGCUUCUUCCACAAAAACAGCUUUAGCUGGGUGUUUUUCAGGGUAAAUUACACUACCGUUUGUUUUUUCAAGGCAGCUGCCUGUAGUGAAUGCUUACUGCCAUUGCUGUGGGCCUUCUUGUGUCAGUAUACAGAAAUCUCAAUUUAAAGGAAAUAUUUUAUGGCCAGAAAUUUAGGAAGGAAGAAAAGGUGGGAUGAGGAAGAGGAAAAUGUAGACCAAAAUUGUAGUUCCUGUUUGCUGGUAUACAGCUGAGGUGGUUUUUCUCUCAUUUAAGCUGUGUCCUGUUAGACAAAAAAAAAAAAAAAAAAAAAAAUGGACUCUCAAAUUUUCCCCUGUAUGUAAUUAUUCUACAUCUCACAAAAUUUACUUUGGGAAGAUACAAAGCAAAUAUACCUCUCUAAAAUUAUAUAUAUAUAUAUAUAUAUAUAUAUAUAUACACAUACAUAUAUAUACACAUAUAUAUAUACAUAUAUAUACAUAUAUGUGUGUGUGUGUACAUAUAUAUGUACUCAGCUAUUCUUACCCAUAAGCAGCUUUGGCCUUUGUACCUGAGCAUGAGACUCUAAGGACCUGGGCUUGAAUUCUACACUGACACCUUAGCUGAAUAUGCAUAAUUUCAGUCCUGACUUUGGCAACAUUAGAAGAGGAAAAAUCAUGCUUAUUGUAGAAUAUUGUUAAACUUUAAUUAGACAAUACAUUUAUUAGAUACAUUAGCAAGCUUAACUUUUUUGCUACAUGCCAGUUAUUAUCCAUAAUUUAUAUUGACAGAUGUAAAUAUUUGUAGCUGACACUACCUUUUCAAACAUCUUUAUAAUAAUCUCUUCAAAUAUAUCUUUCUUUGUGUUAAGCUUUCUUUGUAUCAGCCACCGUUUAUAGUUUUGCUGCAGUAACUUUGCAUAACACAGAUUUGAACUCUACAACUUGUACCUGGUCUUCCACCAUGAAAUAGCUUCUCUGGCGCGUUUAUUUUAUGAAACAUGUUUAGGAGUAGUAGAGAGUCAACCUUUGCUCCUCAGAGCUAGUCUAAGAAGUGCUUUGGGAACCAUUUUGUUCUAAUCCCUUCCUCAUCUCCUGGCAGUAAAUUAAUUCCCAAGAGUUUAAUUCCCAGAGUAUAAAGAGUCUCCCAGUUUGGUUCCAUGACAGACAAGUAUGUUUGCUUUCUUUCUUAAAGGAAACCUUGGUGAAACAUUGUUCUCACCAACAUGUGUGUGAAGAAAAUAGUUUUAAAUUAAAUCCUACAAAAACUUAAUUCAAGGGUUUAUUUUUAGACUGUAAGUGACAUUUGUCUUGGGGAGACAUUUAAGACUUAUUCUUCUUAGAAAAGCUUAGAGGUUUAAUAUUUGUUUUUUGGGUUUUUUUUUUCAUUUUUCUCAGAAAACAUUAGUUUCAGAACGUUAGCCUCUCAUCAUUUAUUAGGCAUUUAUCAAAUACAAAACUGUCACUCUUGGUGUGGUUUUUCAGCAUGAAAUUACUGUGAAAAUAAAUAGAAAGUCACACUGAUGCUGCUAUUUAGUAUUCCUGUUUGGCAUUCAAUUACAUCUGCAAAAAAAAAAUCCCCUUUAAAAAAUAUCAAUAAUGUGAUAUGUUUCACAUUAAGGAACUCGGUGUGAAGAAUCCCCAAGUAAAUCUUUUUUUUUUUUUGAGAGAUGCUAAUAAGACUUGGAUUCACAAUGAGAUCUGCCUGUGGAUAUUGUUUAGUCAUUUUUAUUUACAGCCUUUCUUGACUGCUUGAUAAACAGUAGGUGCUCCACAGUGAUUUGCAGAAGGAUUUCAGAAAUGCAUGCAUGAAUGAAAUGAAAUUUUCUAGACUCGCUUUUUCAGGCACAGACAGAAUAAAAAUGUUAUGCAUACGCUCCCUGAGUGGCCCUCUGUGGUGUUUCCCUGGAACAUUUAUUGCUUGGCACUUUCUGAAAUCUUGCCACCCUUCCCAGUCCCACCCCCUCUUCCUCACCCUCUGCUGUCAAUUUUCUUAGUGCAGAAGAAGUUUAGAGUCUGGAGAGGUAGGUGUUUAGCACUUAAGUGCACUGGCUGCUCUUCCCGAGGACCUAGGUUUGAUUCCCAGCACCCACUUGGGCACUAUAUCUGUAACUACAGUUCCAAGGGAUACAAGAACUUUUCUAGCUUCCGUAGGGGCCAGACAUUCACGUGGUGACAGACAUACAUGCAGACAAAACACGCAUACACAUUAAAUACAUAAUUUAAAAUUUUAAUUUUAAAAGAAGUUUAGCAUGUGUUAAAGAGAUGCGUUGAAGCACAUCAACACCUAAUACACAUUCCUGCUUAAGCAAUUAAGAGACAUUGAAGUCACUGGUCUUAUAAUAUGGAAGAAGGUGGCAGCUGUUCAAAGAAUUUUUUUUAUUGUGACUAAAUUUCCAGUAGUUGACAAGUUGUGAGGAUUCCUUCAACUUAAAGAAAGUGAAAACUGUCUUAUGUUUACACCAGGAUGGAGGUUGUCCUCGACUGAAAAAUGCAUUUUGUGUGAAAAUCAGAUGUUCAGUGUGUGGUAACCUGUUU